CAACCAUUAAUUCUUAAAUGUGUUAAGAUUAUUUGAUGUCAUGGUAAAAUGUUUAUGAAAUAUUACAUUUUAAAAGUGUAGUAUAGUAACCUACAAUGUGAUACCAAUUCUGUAAAACAGUAAAUGUAUUAAUGAAACACUCUAAGUAAAGGAAAAGUGAGUAGUUAUCGCUCUUUUUUAGUAUGUUUUAAUUGAUAUAUCAUGGUUAUAUAUAUUUUUGGGGUACAUGUGAUAUUUUGAUACAUGUAUACAACAUGUAAUGAUCAAGUCAGGGUAAUUGGGAUGUCUGUCACCUCAAACAUUUAUCUUUUUUUGUGUCAUGAACAUUAUAAUUCUUUCCUUGUAGUUGUUUUAAAAUAUACAAUAAAUUAUUAUUCAUUAUAAUUUUUUAAUUAAAUAUUUUUAAAAUUUUUAUUAUUUUUAUUUUUUUUAGAGACAGGAUCUUGCUGGUCACCCAGACUGGAGUGCAAUGGUGCAAUCAUAGUUCACUGCAGCCUCGAACUCUUGGGCUCAAGCAGUCCUCCUACCUCAGCCUCCAGAGUUGUUAUCUAUAAUUUUGAACAGUAGUUAUCUGUAACAGUGAGAAGCAAAGGUUUUCCUCAUUUCCUCUUUUACAGUUUCUGUAUUUUCCAUAAUUGAUACAUCAUCACAUAUUACAAUUAUGAUGAGAAAACAUGAUACAUAUUUUUAUUUGGAAAAUACAUAAAUAAAAACAAAAUCUAUGACCUCACCGUUCAGACUCAACAUCUCUUCCAUUUUGAUGUCAUGCGAUGUUUCUGACGGAGGUUUAAUUGAAAUGAAACAGCAUCAAUAAGCAUGGGCUCCACAGUCUUCCCACAUCGCUCUGAGUGCCCGGGGAGGGACUGGGGACUCCCCCCACACAUUAACCCACGAGGACCUCUCACAUGGACCUUUUUACAUUCUCUCUAAUCUUUCCCAAAGCCUUGCAAGGUGGGAGUAAUAUUAUUAUUCCCAUUUCAGAGAUGACAAAACUAAGAAACUCGUCCUCUGUGAGUUUCUGUGCUAUUAGGCUGUGUCUCAUGUCCCCGUACAAAGUAUCUUUGUAUGGGAGGCCUAAUGGUUAAGAGCAUGGACUUCUGUCCGACAGAAUUCAUUAAGUUCCAGGCCAGACACACUGCCGCUCUCUGGGAAUGUGUCCAUGGGCUAGGGGUGGCACUGAGCUUCCAUUCCAUUUCUUAUAAAAUAAUGACGACAAGAUCGUUUUCCUUAAAGGGUGGCUGUGAGCCUUCAAUUACACAGUGAUGAAAAGACCUUAGCACAGUGCUGGGCAACGGCUAGCUACUUCAGAGGCACAGCUGAGACUUGCACAGAGGUACCUGGCUGCAAAGUCCGGCUCCUCUACACUCUGCAGAGCUGUUUUCCCCCUUCAGAGCUCCUCUCCUCCGGGAGGGCUUGCCUCGCCCCGGUCCAGGAUCUCUGCCUUCGGUUGAAGCGCAGCGCCCCCAGCCGUCCGCAGGAGGGAUCGACGCCUCUGUCUCCCCGAAGUGAGGGCGCUCGCUGCGGAGCUGGGGGUGGUCUCCUCUUCCCCCCAUCGCGGCCCAGCAACCUGGGGGUCCGCGUGACUUCUCCCUGGCCGGGGGAUGGAGGAUGCGCUCUCCUCUGUCCCUUCAAGGCCUCUUCCUCGUCCCAGGUCGAGUCUCCUCCUUGCUGACCAGGCAUCGCGAGCAGAUGAAUCCUCUGGGCGGUUGUCCCUGUCAGGCUGUCAGGACCUGAUUUUCCCUGGUUCACUAAAGCACCAGAAGGUAUGAAGGCGGAGAGAGGAAACAGGGCAAUGGAAUGAACACUUCUCAAGAAUCUCUCAGGUGCCACGGACUGAGCCAGACCCCGCACCUGAUGAAUCAGCUGGCACCACCCAGAUUGAAAAACUGGCUCAUCUGAUCUUGUGGCCCCCUACCCAGGAACUGACUCAGCGCAAGAGGACAGCUUCGACUGCCUGUGACUUCAUCUCCAACCCAGCCAAUCAGCACUCCCAAAUCACUGCCCCCACCCACCAAAUUAUCCUUAAAAAUUCGGAUCCCCCUUGGGGAUACUGAUUUGAGUAAUAAUAAAACUCUGGUCUCCUGCAUGGCCAGC
rnacentral:lncRNA from 1 species